rnacentral:tRNA from 1 species
AGUAGCUCAGUGGUGGAGCACUCGGCUGUUAACCGAUAGGCCGUAGGUUCGAAUCCUACCU